AUUAGGAAUCUUGCGCAAUGGGCGAAAGCCUGACGCAGCGACGUCGCGUGGGGGAGGAAGGCUUUCGGGUUGUAAACCCCUUUUGUCGAGGAAGAAACAAAUGACGGUACUCGACGAAUAAGCCCCGGCUAACUCCGUGCCAGCAGCCGCGGUAAUACGGAGGGGGCGAGCGUUGUCCGAAGUUACUGGGCGUAAAGCGCGCGUAGGCGGGUGGGUAAGUCCGCUGUGAAAGCCCGGAGCUUAACUCCGGAGGGUCGGUGGAUACUGCCAGUCUUGAAGGUGCUAGGGGGAGAUGGAAUUACCGGUGUAGCGGUGAAAUGCGUAGAUAUCGGUAGGAACACCAGUGGCGAAGGCGGUCUCCUGGGGCAUUCUUGACGCUGAGGCGCGAAAGCUGGGGGAGCAAACG
rnacentral:rRNA from 1 species